AUGACUAAUGUUCAAGUCGAGUUGGAUUGCCAGGUUCUGGUGAAAGCUUUGCAGGGCAGGGACGCAGAUCUAGCAGCAGAAGGAUUAUUGUUCAAAGAGAUUCGUGACUUCGCCCGUCUCAACUUUAGUCGUGUUUCAUUUUCUUUUGUCCCGCGGGCAUGUAAUAGCUUAGCGCAUGCAUUAGCUGCCUAUGGCGCUUGUCAGGCUGUUGACAGGGGCCUGAGAACAUUCCAGAUGAUGUAA
rnacentral:rRNA from 1 species